GGCCGGUCGUUCUACAGGCUACCC
rnacentral:siRNA from 1 species